UACGAAGGGGGCUAGCCUUGCUCGGAAUCACUGGGCGUAAAGCGCACGUAGGCGGAUUGCUAAGUCAGGGGUGAAAUCCUGGAGCUCAACUCCAGAACUGCCCUUGAUACUGGCGGUCUCGAGUCCGGGAGAGGUGAGUGGAACUGCGAGUGUAGAGGUGAAAUUCGUAGAUAUUCGCAAGAACACCAGUGGCGAAGGCGGCUCACUGGCCCGGUACUGACGCUGAGGUGCGAAAGCGUGGGGAGCAAACAGGG
rnacentral:rRNA from 1 species